rnacentral:rRNA from 1 species
GACGAACGCUGGCGGCGUGCCUAAUACAUGCAAGUCGAACGAGUGGCGGACGGGUGAGUAAUGUCUGGGAAACUGCCCGCUGGAGGGGGAUAACUACUGGAAACGGUAGCUAAUACCGCAUACCAUCGGAUUUGGCCAGAUGGGAUUAGCUUGUAGGGGAGGUAACGGCUAACCUAGGCGACGAUCCCUAGCUGGUCUGAGGGGAUGACCAGCAACACUGGAACUGAGACACGGUCCAGACGCCGACGGGAGGCAGAAGUGGGGAAUAUUGGACAAUGGGCGCAAGCCUGAUCCAGCCAUACCGCGUGUGUGAAGAAGGCCUUCGGGUUGUAAAGCCCUUUUGGUGGGAAAGCGGUACCCAAAGAAUAAGCACCGGCUAACUCCGUGCCAGCAGCCGCGGUAAUAC